rnacentral:rRNA from 1 species
ACACAUGCAAGUCGAGCGGAGACAGUGAGUAGCUUGCUAUGAGCUGUUUUAGCGGCGGACGGGUGAGUAACGCGUGAGCAACCUUUCCCAGACAGGGGAAUAACACACCGAAAGGUGUACUAACACCGCAUAAGACCACGGGAUCACAUGGUUCUGAGGUAAAAGAUUUAUCGGUUUGGGGUGGGCUCGCGUCCGAUUAGGUAGUUGGUGAGGUAACGGCCCACCAAGCCGACGAUCGGUAGCCGACCUGAGAGGGUGAUCGGCCACAUUGGGACUGAGACACGGCCCAAACUCCUACGGGAGGCAGCAGUGGGGAAUAUUGGGCAAUGGAGGAAACUCUGACCCAGCAACGCCGCGUGGAGGAAGAAGGUUUUCGGAUCGUAAACUCCUGUCCUUGGAGACGAGUAGAAGACGGUAUCCAAGGAGGAAGCCCCGGCUAACUACGUGCCAGCAGCCGCGGUAAUACGUAGGGGGCAAGCGUUGUCCGGAAUAAUUGGGCGUAAAGGGCGCGUAGGCGGCUCGGUAAGUCUGGAGUGAAAGUCCUGCUUUUAAGGUGGGAAUUGCUUUGGAUACUGUCGGGCUUGAGUGCAGGAGAGGUUAGUGGAAUUCCCAGUGUAGCGGUGAAAUGCGUAGAGAUUGGGAGGAACACCAGUGGCGAAGGCGACUAACUGGACUGUAACUGACGCUGAGGCGCGAAAGUGUGGGGAGCAAACAGGAUUAGAUACCCUGGUAGUCCACACUGUAAACGAUGAAUGCUAGGUGUAGGGG